UACGUAGGUGGCGAGCGUUGUCCGGAAUUACUGGGCGUAAAGGGUGCGUAGGUGGUUUCUUAAGUCAGAGGUGAAAGGCUACGGCUCAACCGUAGUAAGCCUUUGAAACUGGGAAACUUGAGUGCAGGAGAGGAGAGUGGAAUUCCUAGUGUAGCGGUGAAAUGCGUAGAUAUUAGGAGGAACACCAGUUGCGAAGGCGGCUCUCUGGACUGUAACUGACACUGAGGCACGAAAGCGUGGGGAGCAAACAGGAUUAGAUACCCGGGUAGUCCCUGAGCGGG
rnacentral:rRNA from 1 species